GACGAACCGUGCGAACGUUAUUCGGAAUCACUGGGCUUAAAGCGCGUGUAGGCGGGAGGGCACGUCCGUCGCUGAAAUCCCCCGGCUCAACCGGGGAACGGGCGCGGAUACGACCUUCCUUGAGGGGCGUAGGGGGACCUGGAACUUCCGGUGGAGCGGUGAAAUGCGUUGAGAUCGGAAGGAACGCCCGUGGCGAAAGCGAGGUCCUGGACGCCCACUGACGCUGAGACGCGAAAGCCAGGGGAGCGAACGGG
rnacentral:rRNA from 1 species